rnacentral:lncRNA from 1 species
UCCUCUUGGUCUCUUCCAUACCCAUUUCCCUUCUCUGGCUCAACAUGUCCAAAAUCAUGGUGUAUCUUCACCAGGAUCCUCACAUAACAGGUUUGGCUCACACUUACCUUCUCUUCUCUCUCCCUGAACUUUUGACCAACUCUUUUGUUCACCCAAUCCGCAUUUACCUUCGCGCACAAGGCAUCACUCUCCCCCUCACUCUAGCAUCCCUCGCUGGCAGCAUCCUCCAUUUUCCUAUUAACCUCUUUCUCGUCUCUCAUCUCCAGCUAGGCUUAGCCGGCGUCGCUGCAGCAAGCGCAGCCUCCAACUGCUUCGUCCUCCUUUCCCUCGUGUCCUACAUCUGGGCAUCCGGCUUGUACAAGCCCACGUGGAUAAGGCCUAGCCUAGACUCUCUCACCGGCUGGAAGCCGCUCCUUCGGUUGGCUGCCCCAAGCUGCGUGUCUGUAU